CAAUAGCGUAUAUUAAAGUUGUUGCAGUUAAAAAGCUCGUAGUUGGAUUUGUGGCGUACGGUGUGUUCCGGGCACUUGUUGUCUGAGUAACCUGCUGUUGCCAUCCUUGGGUGGAACCUGUGUGGCAUUAGGUUGUCGUGCAGGGGAUGCCCAUCAUUUACUGUGAAAAAAUUAGAGUGUUCAAAGCAGGCUUAUGCCGUUGAAUAUAUUAGCAUGGAAUAAUGCGAUAGGACUUUUUUGCUAUUUUGUUGGUUUGCGCAAAGAGGUAAUGAUUAAUAGGGACAGUUGGGGGUAUUCGUAUUCCAUUGUCAGAGGUGAAAUUCUUGGAUUUUUGGAAGACGAACUACUGCGAAAGCAUUUACCAAGGAUGUUUUCAUUAA
rnacentral:rRNA from 1 species